AGUUGAAAAUCAAACCAAACAGAGUUACAAGCAGCCAUGGCACUCGUAAAAAGUUGGCUUUUGAUGACUUCGUGUAUUUUAUUGUUACAAUUCAGCUUUGGCAAAAAAUUACCGUUGUGCAACAAUGGCACGGAUUUGUUGCAGCUCAAAAGUAUUUUCCAAAGAAGCAUUUCAAAUUCAUUGUAUAAAAGAGGAGAGGCUGUGAUCGUGAAGAAGAAACUGAAACGUUUGCGAAUGAAGAAGAAGUGCUACAAAAAACAAUGUACAACCGAGAAUGGAGUGAAGACUUGCUGUCGAAUUCCUACAUGUAUUGAAGUUACAGGUUAUAAAGGCAAGAUAAAAAUAAAGAAAACAGGUAGAAAAAGUCAAGAUCGGAAAAGAAUCUUCAAAUGGAAACGAAGACAUGAUUUGUAUCGAUUUGAACCAGCUUCCUCACAUAAACGCGCAUACAUUUUAUAAUCAUUUUAAGUCUUUUUGACAGUGUACCUACGAAAUCAAACGAUAAUGAAAAUGUAGUCAUACUUGAUUUAAAAAGAAUAUAUAAAGCACU